rnacentral:rRNA from 1 species
AUUGAACGCUGGCGGCAGGCCUAACACAUGCAAGUCGAGCGAGUGGCGGACGGGUGAGUAAUGUAUGGGGAUCUGCCCGAUGGCGGGGGAUAACUACUGGAAACGGUAGCUAAUACCGCAUACCAUCAGAUGUACCCAUAUGGGAUUAGCUAGUAGGUGUGGUAACGGCUUACCAAGGCGACGAUCCCUAUCUGGUCUGCGAGGAUGACCAGCCACACUGGAACUGAGACACGGCCCAGACUCCUACGGGAGGCAGCAGUGGGGAAUAUUGCACAAUGGGCGCAAGCCUGAUGCAGCCAUGCCGCGUGUAUGAAGAAGGCCUUCGGGUUGUAAAGUACUUUCAGUGGGGAGGCGUUACCGACAGAAGAAGCACCGGCUAACUCCGUGCCAGCAGCCGCGGUAAUAC